rnacentral:SRP_RNA from 1 species
GCUGGGCAUGGUGGCUCAUGCCUAUAAUCCCAGCACAUUGGGAGGCCGAGGCAGGAUUACUUGAGCCCAGGAGUUCCAGGGUGCAGUGAACCAUGAUCAUGCCACUGCACUCUAGCCUGGGCGAUAGAGCAAGACCCUGUCUCAA